AUUUUCAGCUUUUACAUAUUAUUCAUUUUGUUAGUACAAUGUUGCUACAAUAUUGUUAUUUGUGUUUGUGUGAGGUUUGGAUCCGAAGCUUCUCACGUGGGAUUGUGAAAUCAACGAGAACCGCUCGUGCAAGCAAAAUAUGGAAAUUCCACCACACUAGACAUGAGGGAUUACUGUAGAAGAACCGAUACUAGUCAGAUAUCACGGGGAUUUCCAACUGGCGAAUCCUGUGACAUUCGACAUUAAAAGCUCAAUACUGUCAUGAUUAAGAGACAAACAGUUUGAUGGUCAUACCAUCA
rnacentral:lncRNA from 1 species